rnacentral:rRNA from 1 species
GUCCACGCCGUAAACGAUGGGUACUAGGUGUUGCGGGUAUUGACCCCUGCAGUGCCGAAGCUAACGCAUUAAGUACCCCGCCUGGGGAGUACGGUCGCAAGACUAAAACUCAAAGGAAUUGACGGGGGCCCCGCACAAGCGGUGGAGCAUGUGGUUUAAUUCGACGCAACGCGCAGAACCUUACCUGGGCUUGACAUCCCGAUCGCACUCUCUGGAAACAGAGGGGUCAGUUCGGCUGGAUCGGUGACAGGUGCUGCAUGGCUGUCGU